UACGUAGGGAGCAAGCGUUGUCCGGAUUUACUGGGUGUAAAGGGUGCGUAGGCGGCUCUGCAAGUCAGGUGUGAAAACUAUGGGCUUAACUCAUAGACUGCAUUUGAAACUGUGGAGCUUGAGUGAAGUAGAGGCAGGCGGAAUUCCCGGUGUAGCGGUGAAAUGCGUAGAGAUCGGGAGGAACACCAGUGGCGAAGGCGGCCUGCUGGGCUUUAACUGACGCUGAGGCACGAAAGCAUGGGUAGCAAACAGGAUUAGAUACCCUGGUAGUCCAUGCCGUAAACGAUGAUUACUAGGUGUGGGGGGUCUGACCCCUUCCGUGCCGGAGUUAACACAAUAAGUAAUCCACCUGGGAAGUACGACCGCAAGGUUGAA
rnacentral:rRNA from 1 species